CCUACGGGUGGCAGCAGUGGGGAAUAUUGCACAAUGGGGGAAAGCCUGAUGCAGCGACGCCGCGUGAGUGAUGAAGUAUUUCGUUAUGUAAACUUCUAUCAGCAGGGAAGAAAAUGACGGUACCUGAGUAAGAAGCCCCGGCUAACUACGUGUCAGCAGCCGCGGUAAUACGUAGGGGGCAAGCGUUAUCCGGAUUUACUGGGUGUAAAGGGAGCGUAGACGGCGAUGCAAGCCAGGUGUGAAAGCCGGGGGCUCAACCCCGGGACUGCAUUUGAAACUGUGCGGCUGGAGUGUAGGAGAGGUAAGUGGAAUUCCUAGUGUAGCGGUGAAAUGCGUAGAUAUUAGGAGGAACACCAGUGGCGAAGGCGGCUUGCUGGACGAUGACUGACGUUGAGGCUCGAAAGCGUGGGGAGCAAACAGGAUUAGAUACCCCUGUAGUC
rnacentral:rRNA from 1 species